rnacentral:rRNA from 1 species
UACGUAGGGUGCAAGCGUUGUCCGGAAUUAUUGGGCGUAAAGAGCUCGUAGGCGGUUUGUCGCGUCGGCUGUGAAAACCUGAGGCUCAACCUCGGGCCUGCAGUCGAUACGGGCAAACUAGAGUUCGGUAGGGGAGACUGGAAUUCCUGGUGUAGCGGUGGAAUGCGCAGAUAUCAGAAAGAACACCCGUGGCGAAGGCGGCUCUCUGGGGACGGUACUGACGCUGAGACGCGAAAGCGUGGGGAGCAAACAGG